GGCUAUAGAAUAACAGAAGGGUUUUUUGUCACUGUAGAAGUGCUGUAAUAUUUGCCGUCUUCAAGAUUAGAAGCUUGCUGAUCUGUAAAGGAAAAAUGCAUGCGGAUUGCCAGUGAGAGAAGAGUAAUUUAGUACGCUGGUGAAGGAAUAAAAGCAACACUGAUCUCAGAGGUGUGAACCAUGCUCACAGGAUGGUGGUUGUGCAGCAGGUCAAUGUAUUUUUGAAACCUCCUGCAGAAUAAUGUUGCAGGGAUAAAUUUCUUGCUUCAGUGAUGAAGAUAGAUUAGAAUGACUGUUCUUGGCCUAUUUUAUUAAAUGGUUUUCCUACGGUUUGCAUCAUCAACUGUUCUGCUAGAAGAAAAUUUGUGGCAUUUCCUUUCAGCAUCAUGUGUUCUACAGAACAGGAGUUCUGACUACCUCCAUUAUGAUGUUCUUUCCUCAUUGCCUGCAUCUUAUCAGCCCCUGGGCUGCAGGCAGAAAAAAGUAGACCCCCUGGGCUGAUCUGAAUGCUGUCAUUCAUGAUAAAGUGAGUAUUAGCUUGAAACAACUGUAAUAUAACUUGUGGACAAAUCUGUUCAGAAGUGUUGUUGAGUUCACUGAAAUCAGCAGUGUUCGCUGUUUGUUGAUGGACUGUUUGAGUCUUGCGGAUUUUGUGUCAUGUAUUUCUAGCUUACAUCCAGAGGCCUCAAUUACAGAGGGAUCAAGUGGUUUCCCAAACUUAGACUUACUUUUGUUACCUUGAACUAAAAUUUUUUGAAGGAAUUUAUCAGAGUAAGUUGUGACAACUUGUUCCUUUGAGUCUGUCCCUGGUCUGUCAGAAGAAGGUAUAAAAACUGUGUGUCAGAUGUCACAGCCGUAAAACAUGGGGAAUAUACCUACAAAUAUCUAAGUAAUGUGGGCCAUUACUUGGAAGCAUGAAAAGUAAUUCUUUCUUCUUUGAGAAAAGGUUUUGUGCACUUCAGAGUAUCUGGCACUCAAUACCUCAACUUAUAUGUGGUCAGUCAGCCAAGAAGGCUACUGUUUCAUAGAAUAGUUGACGUUGGAAAAGGCUUUCACGUUCAUCUAGUCCAACCAAGUCCCCACCUCCAGGGGCAGUGACUGUGACCUCCCUGGGCAGCCUUUACUACUGUCCAGCCACUCUUUCUGACAAGGAGUCUCUCCUAAUAGCCAACCUUAGCCUCUGCAGACAAAACUUGAGGCCAUUUCUCUCUAGUUCUAUUGCUGUUACCUGGAACAACAGGCCGACAGCCUUCUCACCACAACCUCAUUUCAGGGAGUUGAACAGAACUGUGAUGUCUCCCCUGAGCCUCCUCUUUUCUAAAGACAGAAGACAUGUCUCCUGAUUCAAAACCCAACCAAUUUUUUCUGUAGUUUUUUGUGCAGCUGUUCAGCCCUCUGCAAAAUUAAGUUUUAUUUUUAUGUGAAAAAUAAAAAAUAGUACAUUUUCCUAUGUCCAG
rnacentral:lncRNA from 7 species